rnacentral:rRNA from 1 species
GACGAACGCUGGCGGCGUGCUUAACACAUGCAAGUCGAACGAUGAAGCCCAGUUUGCUGGGUGGAUUAGUGGCUAACGGGUGAGUAACACGUGGGCAACCUGCCCCAAACUCUGGGAUAACUCCUCGAAAGAGGUGCUAAUACCGGAUACGAACUAGACAGACAUCUGUACUAGUUGGAAAGUUUUUCGGUUUGGGAUGGGCCCGCGGCCUAUCAGCUUGUUGGCGAGGUAACGGCUCACCAAGGCUACGACGGGUAACCGGCCUGAGAGGGCGACCGGUCAAACUGGGACUGAGACACGGCCCAGACUCCUACGGGAGGCAGCAGUGGGGAAUAUUGCGCAAUGGGCGAAAGCCUGACGCAGCGACGCCGCGUGAGGGAUGAAGGUCUUCGGAUCGUAAACCUCUUUCAGUAGGGACGAAGCGAAAGUGACGGUACCUAAAGAAGAAGCACCGGCUAACUACGUGCCAGCCGCCGCGGUAA